GCCGGAUCUCUCGAUUUCUCUCGAAAAGGCAAAGAAAUAGGAAGCUGCGUUUAUAGUAACCAUUGCAAAACGGGAGCAGGAGAUUGCAGAUUUGAAGAUCUGUGGAAUGAUUGAUUGAAAUGAUUGAUGUGUUUUGUGGAAGUGUGCUGGAUAGUGAUCUAGUUAUGUGUGGUUAUGGAUUUGAUUUUGAGUGUUGUGAUGUUGCAGUUGCCGAGCAUAGGGAUCAAUCCGCAGUUUAUUACGUUUACGAAUGUAACGAUGGUGUCAGAUAAGUUUAUAUGUGUUCGUGAAACGUCGCCACAAAAUAGUGUGGUGAUCAUUGAUAUGAACAUGCCAAUGCAUCCACUACGUAGGCCGAUUACUGCUGACUCGGCUCUUAUGAAUCCGAUUUCGAAGAUUCUGGCUUUAAAAGCUUGUAGGAACAGAUCACUGCACUUUCAAUUCUACACAGAAGUCUUUUGGAAUUGAUGAUUUUCGCAAAAUACCAAAUGGGGUCAACGGGUUGUAAUGAUUUCAGUUUCUUUUCAAGUCGAAACAUUAAGGUUGCAAUGCCUGUUGGGAACUAUACUACAUCGAGCAUGAAAUUCAGGAGACGUCGUAAACGAGGAAAGUGGAGAUGGAAGGUCGAUAAGGAUGAUUCACGUAUGAG